GACGAAGGGGCUAGCGUUGUUCGGAAUUACUGGGCGUAAAGCGCGUGUAGGCGGUUGUCCAAGUUGGAUGUGAAAGCCUUGAGCUCAACUCAAGAAAUGCAUUCAGGACUGGAUGACUAGAGGACCGGAGAGGAUAGUGGAAUUCCCAGUGUAGUGGUGAAAUAACGUAGAGAUUGGGAAGAACACCAGUGGCGAAGGCGGCUAUCUGGACGGUUUCUGACG
rnacentral:rRNA from 1 species